CUCGCUCUGUCGUCCAGGGUGGAGUGCAGUGGCGCAAUCUUGGCUCACUGCAACCUCCGCCUCCCGGGCUCAAGCCAUUCUCCUGCCUCAGUCUCCCGAGGAGCUGGGACUACAGGUGCACACCACCAAGCCUGGCUGAUUUUUGCAUUUUUAGUAGGGACAGUAUUUCACCAUGUUGGUCAGACUGGUCUUGAACUCCUGGCCUCAAGCGAUCUGCCCGCCUCGGCCUCCCUAAGUUUUCGGAUCACAGGCGUGAGCCACCACGCCCAGCCGGAUUGCAAUUUUAAAUAGCAUAAUCAGAGAGGCUUAAUGGAAGAGGUAAUAUUUGAGGAAAGACCUGAAGAAGGUAAGGGAGUAGGCACUGAAGAUAUUGGGGGAACAGUGCUCCCCGAGACAUCUGGGCAGCCAGGCACAGGGACCACAAGCAGAAAAGGGUCCUGUGAGGGUUUCGUGUUUUCUUUACAAUUUGUCAAUGUGAACACCAUGCUCACACCAAAGAACAGCAAGUUUCCUACCUGGCUUCUCUGCCUUCCUCCUUCCUUCCCUCCCUUCCUCCCUCCUUCCUUCCUUUCUUCCUUUCUUCCUUCCGUUCUCCCUUUCUUCCCAAUAUGCCCCACUUCAAUGGAUGAGUUUUCCAGCUCCCUCGGCUGCUUUCUGCAUUGCACAUGACAAGUAUCCACUAAAUAUUCAUUCAUUAGAAACAGCCAGACGAUGCUGAGCCUCUGUAGCUCUCUAGCAUCUACCAUAGCACAGAUCUCAGGAAGACCCACAAGAUACAUUUGUCAACAAGUCGAUGGCCUCCUAUGUGGCCCUGUGCUGUGUGCUGAGGCUACAGGAAGGAACAAAGCCUCCUAUCUGGGGGCCCACUUCUGCAGUUAAGUUCAUCUGGUGUCCUUUGUAAUACUGCAAAGAGAACUUCUUACGCUGUAGCUGAAUGAGAGAAAUAUCCCAUUCCAAACCUCUGAUGGAAACUGGCCAAGUCAGCGUGUGAGAGGAAGAAGGAAGUGUGUGGCACCUCCUGCCUCGCUCUCUUCCUCCUGUUCCGGCCAUGUGAAGUGCUGGCUCCUCAUUUUCCUUCCACCAUGAUUGGAAGCUUCCUGAGGCCUCACCAGAAGCAGAUGCUGCCAUGCUUCCUGUACAGCCUGCAGAACCGUGAGCCAAUUAAACCUCUCUUCUUAUAAACUACCCAGUCUCAGGUACUUCUUUAUAGCAGUGUGAGAACAGACUAAUACAAUGACUACUGAUCAUAGUGGAUUGGCCACUGGAGAGAAAGCUGAUGGAGCAGAGAGCACUUGGGAAGAAACCAUUAAACACUGAAAGAGGAAGAGGUGGUGGAGAUACAUUGGAGAGAACAAAUACAAUAGACUUAUCUGAGGUCAAAUCAACAGAACCCAGCAACGGAUCAGACAGAGAGAGAAAGCAGAAAGAGUGAAAUAAAACUCCACGGUUCUAGCCUGAGUGAUUAAGGGCAGAGCAAUGUUCUGGACCUUGCUGGGAGAUUCAGGAAGAAGAGGGAAAUCUGGGUUUAUUUCAAGGAGGGGUGGGAAGGAGAGAUGAGAUGAAGGAGGACCAGGAAAAUAAAAUAUUUCAAGUUAGCUAUGCUGCAUUGGAAGUGCUUACCGCAUAUCCAGCUGGACCAAAAAAAAUUUUUUUAAUUAGCUGGGCAUGGUGGUGCAUUCCUGUAAUCCCACCUACACAGAGGACUGACGUGAGAGGAUGGCUCACGCCCAAAGGUUGAGGCUGCAGUGAGCUACGAUUGUGCCACUGCACUCCAGCCUGGGUGACAGAGUGAGACCCUGUCUCAAAAUAAAAUAAAAUAAAAUAUUUUCUAUCUGGCUCCUUUCAGAAAAAGUUUGCCUACCCUUGCACCGGAAGCAGGAGGGAAAGAGAUGGGCUUGUUGGAAACCAGGAAAGGAGAAAUUGACAGAGCUGCAGGGAGCAAUCCCUUUCCACCUUCACCCAGGACUGAGAUCAUGUCAUACAAAAGCCCUGUGUUGUUCAGAGGACCAGAGGGGUUCAAGCGAUUCUCCUGCCUCAGCCUCCUGAGUAGCUGGGAUCACAGACGCCUGCCAUCAUGCCUGGCUAAUUUUUGUAUUUUUAGUAGAGAUGGGGUUUCGCCAUGUUGGUCAGGCUGGUCUCGAACUCCUGACCUCAAGUGAUCCACCUGCCUCGGCCUCCCAAAGUGCUGGAAUUACAGGCAUGAACCACUGCACCUGGCCUCUAUUACCUUUAAAAGUGCUCCUUGAAGAGAAAAUCCACUCUGCCGUUUCAAGCUUGACUUCCCUCCCCAGUCUUAGAGACUGAUCACUGGGGCAGAGUGACAUUUUCCCACAAUGCUGGCUCAUUAUUUUCCUCCUGGAAUUGCAAAUCCAAGGGACAAGUGGUACAGCCUGCACCCAUCCAGAAGGGGAGGGAAUCCCACCAGAGGUGCCCUGAAACAAAGAAAACAAGUAACUUCAAAACCACAUCCUAAAAUCUGGACCUGUGACAGGACAGAUGGAACUCUGGAUUGUUUGAUUCUAUCAGCAGAACAGAGGAAGGAAAUGUUUUAAAACGAGAUUAUGUUAUUUUCCCCAGUUAUUAUGAAGCCUUCCUGAAAUGAACUUUAAAUAUCGGCCACCACUUUCAUGAGGCUGAAUGGGAUUCAGCAAUUAGGAGCGUUGCAGGGAAGUGUGGCAGGGCAGAGGUGGGACAAAUUGCAGAUCCCUGUGGGGUCCCUUGGUUAGGUGACAAUUAGUCUAUAAAACACAGCUGUGUGUGUUAGGGAGGGAGUGGUGUCUUUAAAAAGCUCUGUGCCCAAUAGGAACAUUAAUUAAAGGGUCUUUUUUCAAAGGACAUUAAUAAUAAUGAAUAAAAAGCCUUCUGCGACUUUUGCCCUCAAUGAGAAAAUGACUGACAACUACGUAUCGUAUAGAGAAGAAAAAAUAUCCUAGAAGUUAUGAAAAUUUCCCCAAAAUGAAAUCAUACAAUAAUCCUUUAUAAUGCUGGGCUUCCUAGACAGAAUUUUCCAAAGGAAGCUGUCUAUAUCAUCCAGCCCCAAGCCCUGCUGAAUAAUACACGAUAGCUGUGUCAUUAGUGUCCUCUAGCCAAAUAACUGUCCAGGCAGGAUGACAUGGAUGUGGUCGCUUGUCCCCUCUGCGUGGAUGUCCUCCCACACAUGCCUCUCAAUGCCAGGGUUCCUCAAGACCCUCUGAGAGUCAGCUCCUGUAUCCAACUGCUUACCUGAUAUUGCCUCCAAGAAGCCUUAAAACACCUGAAAUGUAAAGGUCUUCCCCAGGAUCCUCCCGGUCUUCACAUCCCUAUAAAUGGCGUCAACACCCAUCCACUCAUGAAGCCAGAACUUAGGAUUCAUCCCCAAUUCUUCCCUCUCCCCCGACAUCCAAUUCAUCAGCAGAUUCCGGGGCUUCGCUCUCCCAGUGAUCUCUCCCAUCUGAGGCUUUCCCUCCAGUGGUUUAUUGCUUCUAUCGUGGUCUAGGUAAGCAUCAUCUAGACUUGCCCUGGACUAGUGCAAAAGUCUCCUGAGUCUUCUCUCUUCAUCUAUUCUCGGGGGCCACAGCCAGACCAUUCUCUACAGAGUUAAAAAGAGCGACUUCUGAAGGAGUGAACAGACCCGCAUCAUUGCCCUGCUUAAGAUCCUUCAGCGACUUCCCAUAGCAUUUAGAACACAAUGCAAACUUUUCUGUAGCCUUGCAACCCCUGCUUGAAUUGGUCUGGCUAUUUCUCUAGCUUCUUCUCAACCCCUCUUUCCUCACCUGGUAUUCCAGCAGCUUCAGGGUUUCACAGUCUUCAGACACUCUUGUGCCUUCCCACUUCUAAGCCUCUUGUGUUUUCGGUUCCCUGUGCCAGGAAAGUUCACCCACUGCUCCCCAACUUCAGAGACCACCAUUUUGGAUACAUAGCAUUGGCCUGACAUUCUUUUUCUUUUAACUGUCAGACAUUAGGGCUGACCUAACUGUCACUACUGGAGUUCAAUAUGGCCCCCAAAAGAGCACCCUGCCGCUGUAAGUUCUGAGCCCAUUGAGAAAUGAGACAAAGAAUCUAGGCAGAUGGAGACCAAAUGCAUCAGCUCUAUUUCUUAUAAAAUUGAUAUUGGAGAAUGUGGCAUAUAAUACCUGCAAACAAGUGGUUUCCUAAUACCAACCCCAGAUUGGAUUUACCCACCCAGUCGGAGGCCAUGCAGGGUCUGGGCAGACCCCCGAUGUAGGGGGGUCUCAGGGCCUUAGUGCAGCCCUCCUGGCACCCCCAGCUUCCUUGUAUGAUUGUGCAUGUUUGUCCCAUCAGUCCGUGAACUUCCCAAAGCAGACACCAGGCAGAAUAAAGAAUACCGGGGAAGGCUGGGCAUGGUGGCUCAUGCCUA
rnacentral:lncRNA from 1 species